UUAUCGAAUGAAAUAUGACGGAAAACAUAUCCGUUUCGUGAGCAGCGAUUUUAGGUAAUUAAUACAAUUUGGAUGAGUAUUUUGUUUACGGGUUAAUGAUCGCUGAAAAAAACAUACCAUGAAUUUAAAUCACAAGAAUUAAUCAAUAUGGCUAGGAUUUAAAUGUAUUAGUAUGUUUAUUUACCUACUUUAGAUUUUGAGUGGAGCGA